rnacentral:rRNA from 1 species
UGCAUAUCAAUAAGCGGAGGAAAAGAAACCAACCGGGAUUGCCUUAGUAACGGCGAGUGAAGCGGCAAAAGCUCAAAUUUGAAAUCUGGUACCUUCGGUGCCCGAGUUGUAAUUUGGAGAGGGCAACUUUGGGGCCGUUCCUUGUCUAUGUUCCUUGGAACAGGACGUCAUAGAGGGUGAGAAUCCCGUGUGGCGAGGAGUGCGGUUCUUUGUAAAGUGCCUUCGAAGAGUCGAGUUGUUUGGGAAUGCAGCUCUAAGUGGGUGGUAAAUUCCAUCUAAAGCUAAAUAUUGGCGAGAGACCGAUAGCGAACAAGUACAGUGAUGGAAAGAUGAAAAGAACUUUGAAAAGAGAGUGAAAAAGUACGUGAAAUUGUUGAAAGGGAAGGGCAUUUGAUCAGACAUGGUGUUUUGUGCCCUCUGCUCCUUGUGGGUAGGGGAAUCUCGCAUUUCACUGGGCCAGCAUCAGUUUUGGUGGCAGGAUAAAUCCAUAGGAAUGUAGCUUGCCUCGGUAAGUAUUAUAGCCUGUGGGAAUACUGCCAGCUGGGACUGAGGACUGCGACGUAAGUCAAGGAUGCUGGCAUAAUGGUUAUAUGCCGCCCGUCUUGAAACACGGACCA